rnacentral:piRNA from 1 species
UCCCAAACUCUGGCUCGUGGGAUGG